rnacentral:rRNA from 1 species
UGGGGAAUUUUGGACAAUGGGCGAAAGCCUGAUCCAGCAAUGCCGCGUGUGUGAAGAAGGCCUUCGGGUUGUAAAGCACUUUUGUCCGGAAAGAAAUCCUUGGCUCUAAUACAGUCGGGGGAUGACGGUACCGGAAGAAUAAGCACCGGCUAACUACGUGCCAGCAGCCGCGGUAAUACGUAGGGUGCAAGCGUUAAUCGGAAUUACUGGGCGUAAAGCGUGCGCAGGCGGUUUGCUAAGACCGAUGUGAAAUCCCCGGGCUCAACCUGGGAACUGCAUUGGUGACUGGCAGGCUAGAGUAUGGCAGAGGGGGGUAGAAUUCCACGUGUAGCAGUGAAAUGCGUAGAGAUGUGGAGGAAUACCGAUGGCGAAGGCAGCCCCCCUGGGCCAAUACUGACGCUCAUGCACGAAAGCGUGGGGAGCAAACAGGAUUAGAUACCCCUGGUAGUCCACGCCCUAAACGAUGUCAACUAGUUGUUGGGGAUUCAUUUCCUUAGUAACGUAGCUAACGCGUGAAGUUGACCGCCUGGGGAGUACGGUCGCAAGAUUAAAACUCAAAUGAAUUGACGGGGUCAUAGCUGUUUCCU